rnacentral:rRNA from 1 species
UGGGGAAUAUUGCGCAAUGGGGGCAACCCUGACGCAGCAACGCCGCGUGCGGGACGACGGCCUUCGGGUUGUAAACCGCUUUCAGCAUGGAAGAUAGUGACGGUACCUGCACAAGAAGCCCCGGCUAACUACGUGCCAGCAGCCGCGGUAAUACGUAGGGGGCGAGCGUUAUCCGGAUUCAUUGGGCGUAAAGCGCGCGCAGGCGGCUCUUCAAGCGGAACCUCUAACCCCGGGGCUCAACCUCGGGCCGGGUUCCGAACUGGAGGGCUCGAGUGCGGUAGAGGCAGGCGGAAUUCCCGGUGUAGCGGUGGAAUGCGCAGAUAUCGGGAAGAACACCGAUGGCGAAGGCAGCCUGCUGGGCCGGCACUGACGCUGAGGCGCGAAAGCUAGGGGAGCGAACAGG